UACGAAGGGGGCUAGCGUUGCUCGGAAUCACUGGGCGUAAAGCGCACGUAGGCGGAUUGCUAAGUCAGGGGUGAAAUCCUGGAGCUCAACUCCAGAACUGCCCUUGAUACUGGCGGUCUCGAGUCCGGGAGAGGUGAGUGGAACUGCGAGUGUAGAGGUGAAAUUCGUAGAUAUCGUGAGGAAGACCAGUGGCGAAGGCGGAUCUCUGGACAGCUCCUGACGCUGAGGCGCGAAGGCUAGGGGAGCAAACGGGAUUAGAA
rnacentral:rRNA from 1 species